CAGAAAUGGUGGUCCUUCAAGUCUUACUGAAAGAUGGAGAUCUGGUGGACAAUGUGACUGUGGAGGUUGGGAUCUGGGGUGCCCACUCACGGUACUCAAAACCAAAUCAAGCAGAGAAGACAUUUUGCCUCAAUCCGACACUCAGGGGGAGUGCAAGUCAUUUGAAUUAAAUAGAAUGGGUUCAGAGCAUGGUCCUCCUGCAUGGAGGAUGUUGAAUGUCCACGAUGAUUUGUAUUUUGUUCAUUUUCAACCAUCUCUGUCAGUUCUGCAGUCUUUUGCAAUUGCAGUAGCGAUUAUCCAUACACAGAGUCCAGCCCUCCGCCCCAACUCCACCCCAAAUGUACAGGCAUUUUAAGUACCAAAGUCCAGGGUUUGAAAAUUAUGUAGUUUUUGUAACUUUUACUUUAUACAGCAGUUGGUAAUUUACAGUACAUAUGUUUUUAUACCUUGGAAUUGAGAUGAUUUCUGUCGAGUUAUAUGGUUUUCAGUUACCAUGAUAUAGUGAUAUCACAGUUUUCUGAUACUAGGUUCCUAGGCUAUAAACCCUUGUAACCUGCUCCCUUCUAUUGAAUGUACGAGAUUGUGAUAUUAGAUUAAGUGAUGGCAAAACAUCAAGCCAAUUGAACAAAAUUUUCAUCUUAUGUAUACCUCCCUUCUUAACCUGCUUGCUGUGGUCACCAUUAGUUCGUUGAAGACCAUCUUCUUACAUGGAAUGCAUCAUUAGUUCGUUGAAGCAGGUCAAGAGUUGUGGAUUGCUGUGAUAUGUCUGGAUUGUUGAUCUACUACGAGUUUAAUAUCGUGGAUGUUAAUUAAUCUAGCAUAUGCGUUUAAAGUGUGGUUUUAUGGUUGGAAAUUUCCUUGAGACAUUUUUCCUCUUUGAGGUAUUGUAACACUUAAUUACUGAGAAAAUUCAUGUUCGGCAGUACUAGUGAGAAGUCAAUAACAGGCAUGAUAAAUUGUCCUUGUUGCUUA